rnacentral:lncRNA from 1 species
AGAUUCUCGAGUCAGAGGGUGGUUCAUGUUGGACUCUUACCUUCCUACCUUUUUUCUUACUGUCAUGUAUCUGCUCUCAAUAUGGCUGGGUAACAAGUAUAUGAAGAACAGACCUGCUCUUUCUCUCAGGGGUAUCCUCACCUUGUAUAAUCUUGGAAUCACACUUCUCUCCGCGUACAUGCUGGCAGAGCUCAUUCUCUCCACUUGGGAAGGAGGCUACAACUUACAGUGUCAAGAUCUUACCAGCGCAGGGGAAGCUGACAUCCGGAGGACCAACUGAAUAAACCACAGCACAUCCACGUAGCAGAUGCCUCUACCAAGUGGAGUGAGGAAGAGCUCUAUACCGCUACAGAAUUGUCUCUGGGAUAUAGUUACAUGAACAAAAGCAACUUGC